rnacentral:rRNA from 1 species
UACGUAGGGCGCAAGCGUUGUCCGGAAUUAUUGGGCGUAAAGAGCUCGUAGGCGGUGUGUCGCGUCGGCCGUGAAAACCUGGGGCUCAACUCUGGGCGUGCGGUCGAUACGGGCAUCACUUGAGUUCGGCAGGGGAGACUGGAAUUCCUGGUGUAGCGGUGAAAUGCGUAGAGAUCGGAAAGAACACCAACGGCGAAAGCACUCUGCUGGGCCGACACUGACACUGAGAGACGAAAGCUAGGGGAGCGAAUGGG